UACGUAGGGUGCGAGCGUUAAUCGGAAUUACUGGGCGUAAAGCGUGCGCAGGCGGUUUGUUAAGACAGAUGUGAAAUACCCGGGCUUAACCUGGGAACUGCAUUUGUGACUGGCAAGCUAGAGUAUGGCAGAGGGGGGUAGAAUUCCACGUGUAGCAGUGAAAUGCGUAGAGAUGUGGAGGAAUACCGAUGGCGAAGGCAGCCCCCUGGGCCAAUACUGACGCUCAUGCACGAAAGCGUGGGGAGCAAACAGG
rnacentral:rRNA from 1 species